GCCAAAAACUUAGCUUUACUACACCUAAUGCCCCCACCAAACUUUUAAACAUAAAAUAAAACAUUUUCUACUUUAAGUAAAGGCGAUUAAAAAAUGUCUUAAAGCUAUAAAAUUAGUACCGCAAGGGAAUAGUGAAAUAUUAAUGAAAACCUCAAGCACUUUAAAGCAGAGCUAAAUUCUCGUACCUUUUGCAUCAUGGUCUAACUAGUCUAAUCAAGCAAAACGAACUUUAAGUCUGACCCCCCGAAACUAAGCGAGCUACUUAAGAACAGCCAAAUGGGCGAACCCGUCUCUGUUGCAAAAGAGUGGGAAGAUUUUUAAGUAGAGGUGAUAAACCUACCGAGCUUAGAGAUAGCUGGUUAUUCAGGAAAAGGAUUUAAGUCCUACCUUAGGUUUCUAGUAUAUACAAAUACCCCUCAAACCUUAAGAGCUAUUCAAAUAAGGUACAGCCUAUUUGAAACAGGAUACAACCUAACCAAUUGGGUAUCAACUACUUUUCUCAAUAAAGUGGGCCUAAAAGCAGCCACCUUUAAAAAAGCGUUAAAGCUUUAUUUCCUUUUGUAUAAAUUCCACUACCUCACUUCAACCCAUAAGCCAUACUGAAUGAUUUCAUAACUGUAUGAAAGCCUAUAUGUUAGAACUAGUAACAAGAAGAAGCCCUUCUCCAAAAUGUAAGUAUAAGCCAAAAUGAACUACUCACUGGCAAUUAAAGUCAAUAAACUAUUAGUAAUAACUCAACAAGAAAAACCUACUAAUCACAACGUUAACCUUACACCAGCACAUUUCUGGAAAGAUUAAAAGGACGGGAAGGAACUCGGCAAACUACUAACCCCGCCUGUUUACCAAAAACAUCGCCUCUUGCUUCCCAUAAGAGGUCCAGCCUGCCCAGUGACAAAGUUAAACGGCCGCGGUACCCUAACCGUGCAAAGGUAGCGCAAUCACUUGUUCUUUAAAUGAGGACUAGUAUGAACGGCAUCACGAGGGUUAUGCUGUCUCCCCGACCCAUUCAGUGAAACUGAUCUCCCCGUGAAGAAGCGGGGAUAAAAAUAUAAGACGAGAAGACCCCAUGGAGCUUUAAACUCAGAAUCAACUGCUACACAAAAUAACCUAAUAUUUAUGCAACUCUGAUUUCUAGUUUUCGGUUGGGGUGACCACGGAGUAAAAAUUAACCUCCACGAUGAAAGGAAAUAAAAACCUAAACCAAGAGCUACAGCUCUAAGUAUUAAUAAAUUAACCAAACUGAUCCAAUUACUUGAUCAACGAACCAAGUUACCCUGGGGAUAACAGCGCAAUCCAUUUCAAGAGCUCAUAUCGACAAAUGGGUUUACGACCUCGAUGUUGGAUCAGGAUAUCCCAGUGGCGCAGCCGCUACUAACGGUUCGUUUGUUCAACGAUUAAAAU
rnacentral:rRNA from 1 species